UACGGAGGAUCCGAGCGUUAUCCGGAUUUAUUGGGUUUAAAGGGUGCGCAGGCGGGAGAUUAAGUCGGCGGUGAAAUUUUGCAGCUCAACUGUAAAAGUGCCUUCGAAACUGGUUUCCUUGAGUGUAGAUGAAGUAGGCGGAAUUUGUGGUGUAGCGGUGAAAUGCAUAGAUAUCACGAGGAACUCCGAUUGCGCAGGCAGCUUACUAAACUACUACUGACGCUCAGGCACGAAGGCGUGGGGAUCAAACAGGAUUAGAUACCCCCGUAGUCC
rnacentral:rRNA from 1 species